rnacentral:lncRNA from 1 species
UUUGGUCCCCCCGGCUCCUCCGCAGGGGUCGCCGUGGAGAAGCUGCCACGGAGGGUUUCCGCUCCAAGCCUCAACUUGCCCAUCUGUGAACAGGGCCAGGGGAGCAGCGGAGCGUGAAGACCUGCGGCUUCCAGGGAAUCUCAUGGCCCCGCCCCACCCACCUCCCCACCAAGGGCCCCGUGCUCUGCCCAAGGCUGGGAGUGUGUUUGGUGCUCAGGGAAGGAAUAAUGAAUGAAGAGGCUGAGGCGGCCCUCCGUUCAGCAGGCAGCACCAAGUGGCAGGGAUGCGGCAGCCAGCAAGCCACCCGGGUCCCCUGCUGCGUGGCACAGGAUUUGGAAAAGGAAAGCUGA